AUUGAACGCUGGCGGCAGGCCUAACACAUGCAAGUCGAGCGGAAAGGCCACUUCGGUGGUACUCGAGCGGCGAACGGGUGAGUAACACGUGAGUAAUCUGCCCUGGACUUUGGGAUAGCCACCGGAAACGGUGAUUAAUACCGGAUACGACCUGAUGCCGCAUGGUGUCGGGUGGAAAGUUUUUCGGUUCAGGAUGUGCU
rnacentral:rRNA from 1 species